AUUGAACGCUGGCGGAAUGCUCUACACAUGCAAGUCGAGCGGCAGCGCGGGGGCAACCCUGGCGGCGAGCGGCGAACGGGUGAGUAAUACAUCGGAACGUGUCCUUAAGUGGGGGAUAGCUCGGCGAAAGCCGGAUUAAUACCGCAUAAGCUCUGAGGAGGAAAGCGGGGGCUCCGUAAGGACCUCGCGCUGUUGGAGCGGCCGAUGUCGGAUUAGCUAGUUGGUGGGGAAAGGCCCACCAAGGCGACGAUCCGUAGCUGGUCUGAGAGGAUGAUCAGCCACACUGGAACUGAGACACGGUCCAGACUCCUACGGGAGGCAGCAGUGGGGAAUUUUGGACAAUGGGGGCAACCCUGAUCCAGCCAUUCCGCGUGAGUGAAGAAGGCC
rnacentral:rRNA from 1 species